rnacentral:rRNA from 1 species
CUCAUAGCGUAUAUUAAUGUUGUUGCAGUUAAAAAGCUCGUAGUUGGAUUCCUGACCUGGGGUAGCCGGUCCGCCUUACAAAAGGUGCGCACUGAGCGGCCUCGGUCAUCCUUGAGAAGAGCGGUCCUGGCAUUCAGUUGUCGGGGUCGGGAUUCUCGACGUUUACUGUGAAAAAAUCAGAGUGUUCAACGCAGGCUUACGCCUUGAAUACAUUAGCAUGGAAUAAUGAGAUAGGACCUUGGCGGUCUAUUUUGUUGGUUUGCACGCCGAGGUAAUGAUUAAAAGGGACGGUUGGGGUUCUUCGUAUUCAAUUGUCAGAGGUGAAAUUCUUGGAUUUAUGGAAGACGAACUGCUGCGAAAGCGUCGAACAAGGACGUUCUCAUUAAUCAAGAACGAAAGUUAGGGGAUCGAAGAUGAUUAGAUACCAUCGUAGUCUUAACCAUAAACUAUGCCGAUUCAGGAUUGGCGGUCGUUUGUUCUCGACUCCGUCAGCACUGUAUGAGAAAUCAAAAUCUUUGGGUUCCGGGGGGAGUAUGGUCGCAAGGCUGAAACUUAAAGAAAUUGACGGAAGGGCACCACCAGGAGUGGAGCCUGCGGCUUAAUUUGACUCAACACGGGGAAACUUACCAGGUC